AACGUAGGAGGCGAGCGUUAUCCGGAUUUACUGGGCGUAAAGCGCGUGUAGGCGGAUUGGUAAGUUAGCUGUGAAAGCUCCUGGCUUAACUGGGAGAGGUCGGUUAAUACUGCUAAUCUAGAGUAUGUGAGAGGGAGGUGGAAUUCCGGGUGUAGUGGUGAAAUGCGUAGAUAUCCGGAGGAACACCAGAGGCGAAAGCGGCCUCCUGGCACAUGACUGACGCUCAGACGCGAAAGCUAGGGUAGCAAACGGGAUUAGAGACCCCGGUAGUCCUAGCUGUAAACGAUGUAGACUUGGCGUUGGUGGGGUCAAACCCAUCAGUGCCGGAGCUAACGCAUUAAGUCUACCGCCUGGGGACUACGGCCGCAAGGUUAAA
rnacentral:rRNA from 1 species